rnacentral:rRNA from 1 species
UACGUAGGGUGCGAGCGUUAAUCGGAAUUACUGGGCGUAAAGGGUGCGUAGGCGGGUAUGUCAGUUAGAUGUGAAAUACCUGGGCUUAACCUAGGGCUGUCAUAUAAUACUGUAUUUCUAGAGUAUGUCAGAGGGGGGUAGAAUUCCGAGUGUAGCAGUGAAAUGCGUAGAUAUUUGGAGGAAUACCAAAGGCGAAGGCAGCCCCCUGGGAUGAUACUGACGCUGAGGUGCGAAAGCGUGGGGAGCAAACAGG